AGCAACCUGAGCUCAGUCGUGGAUUACCCGCCGAACUUAAGCAUAUCAUCAGCGGAGGAAAAGGAACUAACUAGGAUUCCCUUAGUACGC
rnacentral:rRNA from 1 species